GUGAGGAAUAUUGGUCAAUGGGCGGGAGCCUGAACCAGCCAAGUCGCGUGAAGGAAGAAGGAUCUAUGGUUCGUAAACUUCUUUUGCAGGGGAAUAAAGUGCAGGACGUGUCCUGUUUUGUAUGUACCCUGAGAAUAAGGAUCGGCUAACUCCGUGCCAGCAGCCGCGGUAAUACGGAGGAUCCGAGCGUUAUCCGGAUUUAUUGGGUUUAAAGGGUGCGUAGGUGGUUUGAUAAGUCAGCGGUGAAAGUUUGCAGCUUAACUGUAAAAAUGCCGUUGAAACUGUCGGACUUGAGUGUAAAUGAGGUAGGCGGAAUGCGUGGUGGAGCGGUGAAAUGCAUAGAUAUCACGCAGAACUCCGAUUGCGAAGGCAGCUUACUAAGCUACAACUGACACUGAAGCACGAAAGCGUGGGGAUCAAACAGGAUUAGAAACCCUAGUAGUCC
rnacentral:rRNA from 1 species